GACGAACGCUGGCGGCGUGCUUAACACAUGCAAGUCGAGCGGUAAGGCCCUUUCGGGGGUACACGAGCGGCGAACGGGUGAGUAACACGUGGGUGACCUGCCCUCAGCUCUGGGAUAAGCCUGGGAAACUGGGUCUAAUACCGGAUAUGACUCCAUGACGCAUGUUGUGGGGUGGAAAGCCUUGUGCGGCUGAGGAUGGGCCCGCGGCCUAUCAGCUUGUUGGUGGGGUGANGGCCUACCAAGGCGACGACGGGUAGCCGGCCUGAGAGGGCGACCGGCCACACUGGGACUGAGACACGGCCCAGACUCUACGGGAGGCAGCAGUGGGGAAUCUUGCGCAAUGGGCGAAAAGCCUGACGCAGCGACGCCGCGUGAGGGAUGACGGCCU
rnacentral:rRNA from 1 species